CCUUUUCUCUCUUCUCUGAUUCAAGCAAUCAGCCACCAACAUCUUAUUCACCAUUGAAUUUCAAGAUCAAAACAAUAGAGUUUAUUACCAUUUUAUUUUCUCUUUGAAUAAACUGCAAAUCUCAGCCAUGGAGCCACCCUCUUCGCCCCUUUUUCCGGCAUAAUGCCGCCUGCAAACCACCCCUUUUGUCGCCUGUAACCACCGCACCACCACCUCCUUAUUUCCCGAUCGUCGCAAACAACCCACCACCACCACGCACCUCCCCUGUCUCCCUCGCCCUUGCGCCCAACUCCCUGCCUCCCUCCUCACUCGACCCCCUGCCUUCGCGCCCAGCCAGCACAGUGGUGCUGCUGCGCUGGCGACGCUCCACCCCUUUCCUCCUCCCUGGUGCAGCGCCACCCAGACACGCCUCCCCUAAACCCGCCGGAAAACCGUUGCAGUCUCCUCCCAUAACCACCCACGCCAUCGCACAGUCCCUCCCUCUUUGCGCAAACCACCGUCGCACAACCACGACCAUUACCGUCGCUUUAUUGCGCCACCGUGCCUCCCAGGCGUCAGCCUCCACCUCCGUUCCCCUCCCCCUCUUCCUCUUCGUCCGUUUCCCUCCUCCCUCGUGCCCUGCCCUCCUCUGUUCUUGCUCGAGGUUCCCAGGAAACAAGUUCCAGAUUGGAACUGUUUUCUUAUUCCCCAUACCAAGCCCAAAAUUGUUGGCCCAAAUAGCUCAAAAAUCGAACUCGGAGCUCAGGACGAACGAACCAAGGAAAAAGGCUUAGCAAAUCGUGGAAUUGAGGUACUGCGGGAAUCGAUGGAAACGCGUAGAGGCGAGGAAUUUCACUUUUAUAUUAUUCACCUAGUUUAUGCUUGAUGUUUAUAAUUGUUUAAUUUAAAGACUUUUAGUAAUUUAUGUACUUGUAUUUUGGGAAUAUAAAUGAUUAUUAUAUUAAUUUGGAGGUUUUUAUGGCUUAUGUAUGAUGUUGCCUUGUAAUUUCCAAGAGGGAAUUACGGCAGGUAAUGUCCCGACCAAAUUAGGUUAAUUCCGCUGCUAAUUAUGCUUUAAUAAGUGAUUUAGA